GCUACGCCCCUGUGCAGAGUCCUGACCCUCCAUGAAGCGGAGCCUAACGGGUUUAAAAUUCUAAAUGCUGCGGCGGUGUAGUGACCUCUGUCUGCUGCAGGGAGAAGGGCCCAGCACCGGGAUAAACUCUCAAGAGUGUUCACUCGAGUACGGCGGCCUGACGGCAUGUAGCUCACCUAGCAUUUUCCCGGCAGUCUGAUGCAGACGUGUUGUUGUGAAAGCCACCAGCACCCCCACUUGAUUUCGAAAGAGGGAAAAUACUUAUUUUUUGGCGGUUCAUCAGCACUGCUCGGGCUACGGGCAACGUCUUGAACCAACUUACACCCGCGCCGUUAGGUAUCAGUUGGUCAAAGUUGCCCAGCCGUUAGCUCUUAGUUCAGUUAGCCAAAUCCAAGCCUUUCCAGCACAGAAGCCAGCUCAUGUCUUGUGCGGCCGCUAUCUUUGAACGGCUAUCAACACCAUCACCGGGACAACGGGCAUCCUUCCCCCCCGGCCGGCUGAUGGAAGGGUGAGGGGAACGAUGCUGAGAUUCCUCCACAUCCUUCUAACGGGCCUGAUAGGUGUUAUAUGGGAUGAAGUUAAUGCCUUUGGUGCGGUCAGACUAGCAGAUGGGGAGAACAAUUGUUCUGGGAGAGUUGAGGUACGGCGCCACAACCAGUGGGGGACGGUUUGCGACCAUGGCUGGGACUUCCGGGAGGCUAAUGUGGUGUGCCUGGAGCUGGGCUGUGGCUUAGCUGAAUCUGCCCUUCAUGAUGCAGCAUUCGGUGCAGGCAGAGGAGAGAUCUGGCUGCGGCAUGUCCAGUGCACUGGACAUGAGUCCAGUUUGACACGCUGUGCUGUUGUCCUCCACAGUAACUCCUACUGCACCCAUGAGAAUGAUGCGGGGGUGAAAUGCUCAGGUACCCUUUUAACACCCACCCUGACUCUGCUGUCACCUCACACUGUGUUCUCACCCGGGGAGGCUGUUCGCUUCAGCUGCAGUGUUCUGCUGGGCCACCACCUCAGUGACUUCCACCUGUACAAGCAUGGAGUGUCCACGCCGCUGGUUACACAGAGGGCAGACCAGACCCAGACCAGAGUGGAGCUCACAUUGUCUGACAUAGAGACUUUCCACCAGGGCAGCUACAGUUGUCGGUACAGGAUCAUGGGCGGCUUCCCUUCUCAACUGCUCAGCUCACCACCCAGCAACUCCAUCAACAUCACUGUGGUGGAACUCUUGACUCCCCAACACUGGUACAACACGUCAACGGAGGCCCCGCCUGGUUCCGUCAUUAAAGGCCACAGCUUUAACAUCACCUGCUCCACCCCGCAGCAGUACCCUGGAGGUUCCUUCCAGCUGCGUCUGAUCCGCUCCAACGGCACAGUGCGCCAUUCCCUGCCUGCCCUCAGCCCGUCCGUCACUUUCACCUUUCCCAACGCCCAGAGCUCGAAUGAGGGCUACUACUACUGCCUGUACCGGGUCCAGCAGGGUGGACGCACCUUUGUCUCCAGAGAAAGCCAGCCCCUGCCUAUAGCCAUAAAAGACCCAGAUCCAGUGCUGAGUCCAAUGGUGAUCAGCUGGCUUGUGUCUGGCCUUACAUUUGUUGUAGCUGUCAUUGUCAUAAUCAUUGUGGCCAAGGUGCUGUGUAACAAGGAGAAGAAGCCCUCUGAACUGGAGCGAGAGACCAGAACCUGUGUGGACAACACUUACGUUGCCUUAACAAUUAACAAGCUAUGACGGGCUAUGCAGGCAACAGAUAACUAAAGUUCCAGGUGUAUUUAAACUCCAAACAACUGAAACCCCUUGACUACACACAGAAUCACUAAUGAGUGGAAAGUCAGGAGGCUCACAGUGUCCCACAUGGACUCCGACGGCAGGGGACAUAACACAGAACCAAACAACUUGGUUGCUCAUCCAGCACACCUUAUGAAAAGGCACAAGCUGGACCAGUUCAGCAGUCUGGAUGAGAAAUUAAAAUAGGCCGUUAACCGACCGUAAAAAGACUUUUCCGCAGUUUUCUUUCAUACUAGACUUCAGGCUAGUUUUACUGCAGGGAAACAAUGAUGGAUGAUUGGAUUUUAAGCAUUGAGUUAUGGUGAGCUAACAGCCACAGAAGACUGACAGACAGAAGAACCUUUUUUCCAGUCAGUAAUUCUUCAGGUUGGACUUCAGAUUCACUCAGACUUGGCUACUGCCAGAACCCCAGAUGCAUGGAGUGGAAAACUGCUACUAAAAGUUAACCUGGGGAAACUGUGACAUGGGUUCCUCAGGUCUCUUGUGUACAUGCAGUUCAAAAACAUUUUGUUUAUUACCAGCUAACACUAACGACAGGCUCCACUAGCUUAUUAUGUACUCGCUUCCACAGAUCAUGUUUUUGUAUUUAAAGUCUAACCCUACUAUGCAUUUUAUGUCAUUGACAGCAUGUACAUUACUGCACUUAGUGUCUAAGUAGAAACUAGAGUUGAUUAAAAUGUUGCUGUUGAA